rnacentral:rRNA from 1 species
UACGGAAGGCAGCAGUGGGGAAUAUUGCACAAUGGGCGCAAGCCUGAUGCAGCCAUGCCGCGUGUAUGAAGAAGGCCUUCGGGUUGUAAAGUACUUUCAGUCGUGAGGAAGGUGUUAAGGUUAAUAACCUUAGCAAUUGACGUUAGCGACAGAAGAAGCACCGGCUAACUCCGUGCCAGCAGCCGCGGUAAUACGGGGGUGCGAGCGUUAAUCGGAAUUACUGGGCGUAAAGGGCACGCAGGCGGUUAAUUAAGUUGGAUGUGAAAUCCCCGGGCUUAACCUGGGAAUGGCAUUCAAGACUGGUUAGCUAGAGUCUUGUAGAGGGGGUAGAAUUCCAUGUGUAGCGGUGAAAUGCGUAGAGAUGUGGAGGAAUACCGGUGGCGAAGGCGGCCCCUGGACAAAGACUGACGCUCAUGUGCGAAAGCGUGGGGAGCAAACAGGGAUUAGAUACC